rnacentral:lncRNA from 1 species
UGUAACUGCACGAGCUGCUCACAGAAGCUCGUAACGUUAUGGAUAACGACCACAAUAUCAUUCAUACUUACAAGUUACCAUUAGGCAUAGCAUUCAUAAUAAUGAUGAAUCAUUUAUCACAUAAUGUCAACACAUCGAAAUAUAUUACAUUGUCACAUUAUUUACAUAUGUACUUACAGUUCAUGUAAUAUCAAGCAUUAACAUUCAAGUAUAACAUUGCAUUAUUAUUGACGUACGAACUAGCUGAAUCAUGUUCAUAACAAUAGUAGCC